CCAAAGAAUUAAAGCACAGAGAAGUAGAAUUAGAGGAAUAAGAUGAACUGCAUUUUCUCCAACUGACUUCUGAUGAAGACCUAUUUCCUUUUUACUAGCAUCAGAGCUAGACUUAUAAAUUGGAAGGUCAGUUGAAGAUAAUGUUUUCACAGGAGAAACAAUGUUAUCAUCUGAAGAAAAAUUGACCGAAAGCUCAUCCGCCGCGCGGGAAGUGCUUGAUGACCUAUGCAUUCUUUAGAAGAAGAAAGGAACGAGUUUUCAGACAGUAAACUCGAGACAGGAAGAAGCAGCUCAACUCAGAGAGUUUAUAUAGAAGACGUGAACUAAUGAUUUUGAGAGUAGAAGUUUCAACGGUUUUGAAUGUCAAACUACAUCAGCUUAACUUAAAGGCUGCUUUCAACAUAAUUAAAGGUGAAUAUCGUCAUGACGUUUUUCUUUGUCUUACCUGCUGGCCCCAAUGUGUACCACUAUUUAUGUUUGGAGCAGUUGUCAACUCAAUCUCUUUCUGAGCCGGAUCAUCCCUUCUUCCCUGAAGGUCCAAGAAUGUAAAAGGAAUGAUAUAUCAUACAGGUGAUUGAGAACUUAAAAUGCCAGAAUGACAAGCAAUAGUGAUGCUCAACUUACUCGAAAAUGAACAUCAAACCAUCCACCAAAUCCACAGAGGCUUGUGUUUUCCAUAGUGAUUGAAGAUAGAAAGUUUGAUCUGACCUUAAGGAUGUCAUCAACAGUGGCUGUUAAACAAUCCAUCUCCAUUAUAAUGGCAGCCGUA